AUGAAGACAACUCGGCUCCCAGCGGAGAAGAGUCCCGAGUGUCACAGCACAGUAACAUGUAGCUUUGCCUUUGCCCAUCAAAGUGGAAAUGAAGGAAAAGAAAGCAGCAAGAUUUUAGGGCUGCAGAGCGGCGGCCGCGGCUCGGCGGGAGCGCGGGCGGGAGCGGCCGAGACCGUGGCUGGAGGCAAAGCUGGAAGGACAGUGGGAAGGCCAAAGCUAAGGCAGUGUCUCGCUCACAGAGAGCUGGGCUGCAGUUUCCUGUGGGCCGCAUCCACAGACAUUUGAAGACUCGUACCACGAGCCACGGAAGGGUCGGUGCCACUGCUGCAGUGCAUAGUGCUGCCAUUCUGGAGCACCUCACUGCCGAGGCGCUGGAGCUGGCAGGUACUGCUUCCAAGGAUCUUAAAGUAAAGCGGAUCGCUCCGCGUCACUUGCAGCUUGCGAUCCGUGGUGAUGAAGAGUUGGAUUCUCUUAUCAAGGCUACCAUAGCUGGGGGUGGUAUGAUUCCUCACAUCCACAAGUCUCCAGUUGGAAAGAAGGGACAGCAGAAAACUGCUUAGAGAGGUGUUUUAACCAACCCUCUUCCUCCCCAUCAUUGUACUGUAACUGAGAGAAGAAAUAAUGGGGAUAUGUGGAAUUUUUAAAACAGUUAAAUGGAAAAGCAUAGACAAUUACUAUAGACAUCAUAAAAGAAACAUUUGUACGUUCUUAGACUCGAAGUUUGAUAAAAGUACCUUUUCGUGCGGCAACAGUUGUGUUGAUUGGCUAGAUUUCUCCCAUGUGUUUUAUACAAAAAUGGAGUUGAUAAACCACUUUUUACAAAAA